CCUACCCUUAGGACCGGGAUAACCUUGGGAAUCUGAGGAUAAUACUGGAUAGGCAAUUAUUCCUGUAAUGGUUUUUUGUUUAAAUGUUUUUUCGCCUAAGGAUGAGUCUGCGGCCGAUUAGGUAGUUGGUUAGGUAAUGGCUUACCAAGCCGUUGAUCGGUACGGGUUGUGAGAGCAAGAGCCCGGAGAUGGAACCUGAGACAAGGUUCCAGGCCCUACGGGGUGCAGCAGGCGCGAAACCUCCGCAAUGUGAGAAAUCGCGACGGGGGGAUCCCAAGUGCCAUUCUUAACGGGAUGGCUUUUCAUUAGUGUAAAGAGCUUUUGGAAUAAGAGCUGGGCAAGACCGGUGCCAGCCGCCGCGGUAACACCGGCAGCUCUAGUGGUAACAAUUUUUAUUGGGCCUAAAGCGUCCGUAGCCGGUUUAAUAAGUCUCUGGUGAAAUCCUGUAGCUUAACUAUGGGAAUUGCUGGAGAUACUAUUAGACUUGAGACCGGGAGAGGUUGGAGGUACUCCCAGGGUAGAGGUGAAAUUCUGUAAUCCUG
rnacentral:rRNA from 1 species